rnacentral:rRNA from 1 species
AGUGAACGCUGGCGGUAGGCCUAACACAUGCAAGUCGAACGGCAGCACAGGAGAGCUUGCUCUCUGGGUGGCGAGUGGCGGACGGGUGAGGAAUACAUCGGAAUCUACUCUGUCGUGGGGGAUAACGUAGGGAAACUUUCGCUAAUACCGCAUACGACCUACGGGUGAAAGCAGGGGACCUUCGGGCCUUGCGCGAUUGAAUGAGCCGAUGUCAGAUUAGCUAGUUGGCGGGGUAAAGGCCCACCAAGGCGACGAUCCGUAGCUGGUCUGAGAGGAUGAUCUGCCAGACUGGAACUGAGACACGGUCCAGACUCCUACGGGAGGCAGCAGUGGGGAAUAUUGGACAAUGGGCGCAAGCCUGAUCCAGCCAUACCGCGUGGGUGAAGAAGGCCUUCGGGUUGUAAAGCCCUUUUGUUGGGAAAGAAAUCCAGCUGGCUAAUACCCGGUUGGGAUGACGGUACCCAAAGAAUAAGCACCGGCUAACUUCGUGCCAGCCGCCGCCGUAA